rnacentral:rRNA from 1 species
UACGGAGGGUGCGAGCGUUGUCCGGAAUCACUGGGCGUAAAGGGCGCGUAGGUGGCGCGAGGAGUCUGUGGUGAAAGCCCGAGGCUCAACUCCGGGUCGGCCGUCGAUACUUCCGGGCUUGAGCACUGUAGAGGCAGAUGGAAUUCCGGGUGUAGCGGUGGAAUGCGUAGAGAUCCGGAAGAACACCGGUGGCGAAGGCGGUCUGCUGGGCAGUUGCUGACGCUGAUGCGCGACAGCGUGGGGAGCAAACAGG